CGCCACGUCUCUAUGGCAGUCCAACGGCCGUCCGGGGCGCGGAGCGGGAUGAGCGCGGACGCGUCCGGCGGCGACGCCGCAGGGGUCGCGGCGCGGUCCGGGGCGGUCAGUCCCGGAGGGGAUGGCUUCGCCCCGUCGGCGUUGGGGACCCAAGAGCAUUGGGAUGCUGUCUAUGAGAGAGAACUGCGCACUUUCCAGGAAUAUGGAGAUAGAGGAGAAAUCUGGUUUGGAGAAGAGAGUAUGAAUCGACUAAUAAGGUGGAUGCAGAAACACGAGAUUCCGUUGGAUGCUUCAGUGCUUGAUAUUGGAACUGGAAAUGGUGUUUUCCUGGUUGAACUUGCAAAAUUUGGUUUUUCUAAUAUUACUGGAAUCGAUUACUCUCCUUCUGCAAUACAGCUUUCUGGAAGUAUUAUAGAGAAAGAAGGUUUAUCUAACAUUAAAUUGAAGGUAGAAGACUUUUUGAAUCUUUCCACAAAGCUGUCUGGAUUUCAUGUUUGCAUUGACAAAGGGACAUUUGAUGCCAUAAGCCUUAAUCCUGACGGGGCAGCUGAGAAGAGGAAGCAGUAUGUGAAAUCUCUCUCCAGGGUGUUGAAUGUGAAAGGCUUUUUUCUAAUAACCUCAUGUAAUUGGACCAAGGAGGAGUUGCUAGAUGAAUUCAGUGAAGGAUUUGAACUUCUCGAAGAGCUGCCAACACCCACAUUCAGCUUCGGAGGUGGAUCCGGGAGCAGUGUGGCGGCGUUGGUUUUCCAGAAAACGUGAGGCUUCUCCUUGGACACAUUCAGUUAGCUUUUUAAAGCAGCUCUACAUCAAAGUGCACCUGACACAGAAAAUGCAAGUGCAAAUAGAUGCUUAAUAAUCUGCCUCCCAGAUGCUGAGUGUGCAUUUAUGGCUUUUAUAGUUCAAUCAGAACUACAACUGGCAUUUAGGAAAUCCUGGUAGAGGAGUGGGGCAGUCGUUAGGAGCACUGCAGCCCCUUGCGAUGGUGUCGAUCUGAGGACUGUGAGGACAGUGGGCCACCCUGCGUUCUUUCACCAUCUCCCUGCUUGUCUUAGAAGACUUGUCCACUCCGGAACUGAAUUGUGUCAUUCUUCUGUGAAAGGGUGGUAUAAGUUAUAUCUAUAUCUACACCCCUAUAUAUCUGUGUGAGCCCCAAGGGAUAUGGGGACCAAGAUGUUCUAGUUAGGAGCUAAUUAGUAAGAGAAACAGUUUUUUAAUGUUUUUGAAAAGAUAAGGUAUAUUAAUAUUUAAUGCUGUUUUGUAUUUGGGGUAAUAUUUUAAUGCUGGAGUCACAGUAUGAGUUUUUAAAAAAGUGAUAUAUUUUUUGAUGAUUUUUAACUUUUAGGCCUGUUGGGUUACUGAAUGAACAGAAUUUCCGUUUGACAAAUGUACUCAAAUGAUAAGUGUGGCAUGGCAUGCUUUUAUUUUCAUUUUUGCCCCAUAGUGGAGGCAGGGAGAGUGAUUCAAUUUAGAUCAACAUUAAUCAGCCAUUAAGAUUACUGCCUGCCUUGCACAAAAUAAUUGAAGACAUUUAUAUAAACUUUCAACACAGGUAACAUUUUAGAAAAGCUUUAAUUUUUAACAUGUAAAAAGUGAGAAAGUAAAAAAUAUGUGAUUAAACUUUUUAAAAUAUUGUGUCAACUUUACAAACUAGACAUGGAAUCUUACAUUAUGGAAACAUAAAUGGUUUUCUGAUUUAUCGAGAUCUGGUCUUUGUUGUUUUCCACAGAACUCUUCCUUGAAUUCGAAUAUGAUACUGGUGUGUGGGUGCUCUUUUGGAUCGCGAGUUGUUAGGCAUGUGCUGUGUUAAAGCACCAGGCUAACAGACUGAGACAUUGGGUUCGAUUCACUGAUAGCUUGGAAUCGGCUUUGUCGAGACCCUCCUUGGGUCACCAACUGUCACCUGGGUAUGUUCAGUUUGUAAAGAUGAAGGAUUUUUUUUUUUUUUUAAGAAAUCCUGGAGCUGUUGAUAAGGUCAGGAAAAGGGAGUUGUCAUCUCUUAUCAGUUUAAUCCUGCUGGAAGCCUGCCUUUUGGAGGUUGAAAUCAGAACAAAUGGAAGGUCCAUAAAUGCUAACAAUAAAUUAGUAUAUUCAAAUAAUACUCUGCUUUAAAAACCAGGCCAGUAAAUGCCCCAAGUCACUGAAGCAAGUCAACAAACUUAGUUUUGUUAAAUCACAGGAAUAUGUGGUUAACUGUGAAAGAGAUUACAGUUAUAAAAGAGCAGCAGGUUAUGUAGUGAGCGCUGUUUUUCUCUGGAUAAGAAGUUGGGAAUGUAAUUUUAUUUCACCAAAAGACACUUAUUUUGAGGAAACUUGUUUGAAAUGCAAACGAGAUUUCUCUUUGGAGCCUGCACAGAAUUGUUGCUUUUCAUUAUGAUAUUACUGCAUAGCAGGCCACUUCUGUUGGUAGGAAGUAUGUAUGCAAGUCCAAAGGGAUUUGAGGCCUGAAUGGGCGGUUACACCAAUUAACAAACAAAGUUUUCCGAACAUUUUGUUUUAAGCCAGGUGCACAAGUUAGAGUUGCUUUUUGGGACUGGCAUUUAUGCAUAUGAGAAUCAAACCUGACACUACUCUUGGCAGCUUGACCAAAGCCAUUUUAAAAUAAGCACAAACUGUCCUUUAAUGAUUUUUCUCCCAUUGUAGUAGCAGGGAGUUUGCCUUUCUUCUUCAGCUGUGAUAUGCGUGCAGUUUCCCAUUUAUUUGGUGGGGGAGGGAAGGGAGGUAAAUGUAUACAAAAGAUUUUUAGUCUUUAUAUGAAUAGUGUGUUUCAAUUCACUUAUUUUUAAAUUUCUGUGGUACUGUAAUGCAGUACUGUAUGUCGACCUUAAUUCAUAUUCAUCCAGAGUAUAAUAAAAACCAUAAUUUUUAAGGAA